UGCAGCUUGCAUUAGCUUAACUUAACCAGUUUUUCGCUAGCUAACAUUUGCAAAAACAGUGCAUUCCGACUCCCACACCCCAUAUAAUCUGUAUGAAACAUGACGAAGAUAAAUAAAAUAAUGUGAAAUACAGUCACUCACACAAAUAAAGAAACAUUAUUCUUACUAAGAUGCUGGUUUUGACAUGUCUGCAUUACACGCCAAGUUAAAAUAGACGUCUACAUGGUCAAAUUAUAUUGCAUGAAGUUACUACUUGAAUUUCAUUUUAAUUUUGUGGGCUAAUAAUGUCUUGGUUACACUUUACUGAGUGGAUGGAUGUCUGGUUCACUCGCCCAUGUCCGCCUUCAUUUCCUCUUUCGCGCCUUCAACAUUCUGUGUAAUUGUAAUUUGUAUCAUUUACGAUCAGAACCAAGUGAAAACACAACGAUCCUGUAAUUUUACAAUGUGAUACUGUGAAUAAAUGCUUGAAUUUACGGUAAAUAUUUUUUUUUACCCACAAUGCAUUGCAAUAUACAGUAACACCUUGUCAAUUGUUAGAAUAAGAAGCUACUGUAAUUUUUUUACUGUAGAAAUUAGAGAAAUUUGUUAUAGUGUACUAAGGUUGCACUGAUCUGAUAUUAGGAUUGGGUAUCGGCCCCAAUAUCAACAUUGUAGCUGGAUCGGGGAUCUGUGAAAGGAACUGAUCUGUAAGACUGAUCCUUCCCCUUUAAAUUUUUGCGACAAGGGCUACGUCAUGCUUGCCAAGCAUAAUUCUAAAAGUAAUGCGAUGGACCUGUAUGUGGAGGACAUGGUGGGUUAUAUAGCUAUAGCUAAUAACAUUUAUGCAGUGUAAAAUUACUGUCUGACUAAAUCUAUUCUAUCCUUGAGCUCCAUGUGUUCAGUCUGUUUAGUUGUUUUUCAGAUAAUGAAUCCUCUGGUUGCUUACUUUCGCUGUGAAACAAAGGAAAAUAAGCACAUGUGGGAUGCUCAUUCACACCAGGACAUCCCUUUCAGUCAACAUGUUGGACAGUGGAGACACUGGCUUAGAGGAGACACAUAAAGACAAGAUGAACCUACAAGAUUCUGGAGGCAAGUGCUUUAAAGGCCAUUGACUGUGGCAUGUGCAAAAUAUUUCUGACAAGUGCGGAAGCAGAUCAAAGCAAUGGAUUUGUAUGACUUUAUUACUUGUGCCCAUGAUGACAUAUUUGCAGCUCAUACAGACAGAUCUUUGUUAAGGUCAUUGAAAAAGUGAUGUGAUAUUUAAAAAAACAACAACUUGCCAAAAUACUUAUGGGCAAGUCACAUAGAAGGGACACAAUGCUGAGAAUGAAUUCAUACUGUUCUUAUUAAUGUAUUUUUUUGGUCUUUAUUCUGAUUAAAAUAAUUGUUUCA